CCUACGGGGGGCUGCAGUGGGGAAUAUUGGACAAUGGGGGCAACCCUGAUCCAGCCAUGCCGCGUGUGUGAAGAAGGCCCUCGGGUUGUAAAGCACUUUCAGUGAGGAAGAACGCCUGGUGGUUAAUACCCAUCAGGAAAGACAUCACUCACAGAAGAAGCACCGGCUAACUCCGUGCCAGCAGCCGCGGUAAUACGGAGGGUGCGAGCGUUAAUCGGAAUUACUGGGCGUAAAGCGCGCGUAGGUGGCUUGAUAAGCCGGUUGUGAAAGCCCCGGGCUCAACCUGGGAACGGCAUCCGGAACUGCCAAGCUAGAGUGCAGGAGAGGAAGGUAGAAUUCCCGGUGUAGAGGUGAAAUGCGUAGAGAUCGGGAGGAAUACCAGUGGCGAAGGCGGCCUUCUGGACUGACACUGACACUGAGGUGCGAAAGCGUGGGUAGCAAACAGGAUUAGAUACCCCAGUAGUC
rnacentral:rRNA from 1 species